rnacentral:rRNA from 1 species
GACGAACGCUGGCGGCGUGCUUAACACAUGCAAGUCGAACGGAAAGGCCCUGCUUGCCGGGUACUCGCGUGGCGAACGGGUGAGUAACAAGUGGGUGAUCUGCCCUGCACUUCGGGAUAAGCCUGGGAAACUGGGUCUAAUACAGGAUAGGAGCCAUUUUUAGUGUGAUGGUUGGAAAGUUUUUUCGGUGUAGGAUGUGCUUGCGACCUAUCAGCUUGUUGGUGGGGUAAUGGCCUACCAAGGCGGCGACGGGUAGCCGGCCUGUGAGGGUGGACGGCCACAUAGGGACUGAGAGACGGCCCAGACACCGACGGGAGGGAGCUGGGGGGAAUAUUGCACAAGGGGCGCAAGCCGGAUGCAGCGAGGCCGCGGGUGGUAUGACGGCCUUCGGGUUGUAAACUACUUUCGCUAGUGACGAAGCAUUUUGUGACGGUACCUAGAUAAGAAGCACCGGCUAACUACGUG